GCGGAGCGGAGCGGGAUCUGGCGGCUCUCCGUCCCCUCGCUUACCGGCGCACGUAGGCGCGGGCGACAGCCGAGGCGGCGGAGAGCGGCAGGAGCGCAGGUCUGUGCGCGGGAGAGCGGGCACGGCGGGGGGGGAGCGGGGCUGUGCGCACCGGGGCUGGGAGCUGGGAGCUGGGAGCGAGCGGCGCGGCCGAGUGGUUUGCUUGUUUCUGAAAAUACAUUUUGUUUAUGUGGCGCUUAGAGACGUAGGGCAGUGACCCCGUUCAUCCCCCGUGUGAUCCUGGCUGAAGCAGGAUGCUGACGCUGUGGGGAGAACAGUUAGAGUUCUUCUCCACCACGCGUACGGACCCCGAUGGCCGUAGGGAUGGGAGGCACAAGGUGGUCUUCACGAGGCAGGGGCCGUACCCAUCCCUGCAGUUACGGGCGUUAUCCCUUCCUCUGACAGGAACGAUGCAGUCUGUACGGUGUAUUUUCCGAACUGUGACGGUGGUUUCUCUGGGGUGCUGUGUGAGGAAGCACUGAGGCGGAUCGGUGCUUCCCUAAGGCAGAUUUGUCUCCAUUCAGUCACAACCUGAAGAGUGACAAAUGGAUAUCUUGGCCUAAGAAUCCUGAGGCCCCGGACAUAUAGGAAUAUCCUGAAAGUCACUACAAGCAGCCUGAGCUUUAAUGGUACUGAAGAAACAUUAUAGCUAUUUAAAACUGAAUGGAUCAAA